AUUCCAUGAUGAGGACAGACAAUGACAUAUUCCUCCAGCCUUUCCCAAGCUUCUGGGAUCGUCUCAUAUCUUGUCUGCUAGAAGCUGGAUAUGCUUCUGCGAAA
rnacentral:snoRNA from 1 species